rnacentral:rRNA from 1 species
UGGCGGACGGGUGAGUAACGCGUGGGUAACCUGCCCCAUACAGGGGAAUAACAGUUAGAAAUGACUGCUAAUACCGCAUAAGACCACAGCACCGCAUGGUGCAGGGGUAAAAACUCCGGUGGUAUGAGAUGGACCCGCGUCUGAUUAGCUGGUUGGUGGGGUAACGGCCUACCGAGGCGACGAUCAGUAGCCGACCUGAGAGGGUGACCGGCCACAUUGGGACUGAGACACGGUCCAA